rnacentral:rRNA from 1 species
GAUGAACGCUGGCGGCGUGCCUAAUACAUGCAAGUCGAGCGAACAGACGAGGAGCUUGCUCCUCUGACGUUAGCGGCGGACGGGUGAGUAACACGUGGAUAACCUACCUAUAAGACUGGGAUAACUUCGGGAAACCGGAUCUAAUACCGGAUAAUAUAUUGAACCGCAUGGUUCAAUAGUGAAAGACGGUUUUGCUGUCACUUAUAGAUGGAUCCGCGCCGCAUUAGCUAGUUGGUAAGGUAACGGCUUACCAAGGCGACGAUGCGUAGCCGAUCUGAGAGGGUGAUCGGCCACACUGGAACUGAGACACGGUCCAGACUCCUACGGGAGGCAGCAGUAGGGAAUCUUCCGCAAUGGGCGAAAGCCUGACGGAGCAACGCCGCGUGAGUGAUGAAGGUCUUCGGAUCGUAAAACUCUGUUAUUAGGGAAGAACAAAUGUGUAAGUAACUAUGCACGUCUUGACGGUACCUAAUCAGAAAGCCACGGCUAACUACGUG